CACGUAGGGGACGAGCGUUGUCCGGAUUUAUUGGGCGUAAAGAGCGUGUAGGCGGCUAUGCAGGUCCGCUGUGAAAACUCGAGGCUCAACCUCGAGACGUCGGUGGAAACCGCAUGGCUAGAGUCCGGAAGAGGAGAGUGGAAUUCCCGGUGUAGCGGUGAAAUGCGCAGAUAUCGGGAGGAACACCCGUGGCGAAGGCGGCUCCCUGGUCCGUCCCUGACGCUGAGACGCGAAAGCGCGGGGAGCGAACGGG
rnacentral:rRNA from 1 species